rnacentral:rRNA from 1 species
GGGGAAUAUUGGGCAAUGGGCGAAAGCCUGACCCAGCAACGCCGCGUGAAGGAAGAAGGUUUUCGGAUCGUAAACCUCUAUCCUUGGUGAAGAUAAUGACGGUAGCCAAGAAGGAAGCCCCGGCUAACUACGUGCCAGCAGCCGCGGUAAUACGUAGGGGGCAAGCGUUGUCCGGAAUGAUUGGGCGUAAAGGGCGCGUAGGCGGCCUGGUAAGUCUGGAGUGAAAGUCCUGCUUUUAAGGUGGGAAUUGCUUUGGAUACUGCUGGGCUUGAGUGCAGGAGAGGUAAGUGGAAUUCCCGGUGUAGCGGUGAAAUGCGUAGAGAUCGGGAGGAACACCAGUGGCGAAGGCGACUUACUGGACUGUAACUGACGCUGAGGCGCGAAAGUGUGGGGAGCAAAC